CACCGGGCUUGUACCGGUACAGAGCCGCUGAACCCCGCAACCUGAGCCUCGGGUUGGGAUUUUUGUGGGUCUUGUACCGAUACAGGGGCCCAUGUACCGGUACAAGGAGGCUGAUUUCGUGCAGUUUGAACUGCAGGGGUGUUUUUGCAAUUGUGGACUUCUUAUUUGAACCCCCACGCCCUAGGGGCUUCUCCUGAGCUUGGGACCAGCAAGAGGAGAGGUAAGGGAGCCCUCCACACUCUCCCAUUUGAUUCCCUUGAUUUUUAUUUGGAUUUAGAGAGAUUAAAACCUCUCUUUUUGCUCCUUUUUGGGUGUUGGAGGCUUUUCCACCAUUGGAGCUUGGGAUUGGAGCUUAAGAGGGGGAAGAUCUCUACACUUGGUGGACUUGGAACCUUGAUUGAAGCUUCUAAGAGGUUAGUAACCCCUUCUCUCCCUCUAGAUCUAACUUUUAGAGGUUUCUUUAAGAUGAAACCAUAGAGUGAGGUUUUAGGGUUUAUUUUGGGCAUUUUCGUUUUAGGGCUUUUGGAGCUCAAUUGGUUGGAUUAGAACGUUCCUCUAGGCUAGAUUGGAAGGGUUCUAGCUCUCUUUUGGAGCUUUGGAAGA
rnacentral:lncRNA from 1 species